GGCCAAGAUGAAUUACUGUAAGAAAUUUAUUGAAACCAUUGAAUUCGAAAUAUGGAAAAGUAGUACCUUGGAGUCCUCGUUCUAAAAGUUAAAGUAUGAAAAUAUUACAAAAUUAUAUGAGCAUCAAAGAUCUAGCAAUUAAUCAGAAUCAAAGCAGACCUAUGGGUAGUGCAAGUUAUGUUAUAAAGUAUAAGCUCAUAUUUAUGCUUUGCAUUGUU
rnacentral:lncRNA from 1 species